rnacentral:rRNA from 1 species
CCCUUAGAUGUCCUGGGCUGCACGCGCGCUACACUGAUGCAUUCAACGAGUCUAAAACCUGCUCUGAUAGGGGUGGGUAAUCUUUUGAAUGUGCAUCGUGAUUGGGAUAGAUGAUUGCAAUUUUUCAUCUUCAACGAGGAAUGCCUAGUAAACGCAAGUCAUCAGCUUGCAUUGAUUACGUCCCUGCCCUUUGUACACACCGCCCGUCGCUCCUACCGAUUGAAUGAUCCGAUGAAUAUCAUGGAUUGAGGAUGCAAGUAGGUUCGCCUAUCUUCAUCUUCGAGAAGUGAAGUAAAUCUUAUCAUUUAGAGGAAGGAGAAGUCGUAACA